AGAGUUUGAUCCUGGCUCAGAGUUAACGCUGGCGGCGUGCCUAACACAUGCAAGUCGAACGAUGGUCUGUAUGACAUAGUGGCAGACGGGUGAGUAACACGUAAGCAAUCUACCCUUGAACGGAGGACAACCUGGCGAAAGUCGGGCUAAUACUCCAUACGAUCUCCCUCAGGCAUCUGAGGAAGAUGAAAGGUUUCGGCCGAUCAAGGAGGAGCUUGCGAUUUAUCAGCUAGUUGGUAGGGUAGAAGCCUACCAAGGCUAUGACGAAUAGCCGGUCUAAAAGGAUGACCGGCCACAGGGACACUGAGACACGGGUCCCACUCCUACGGGAGGCAGCAGUGGGGAAUUUUGGACAAUGGGCGAAAGCCUGAUCCAGCGACGCCGCGUGAAGGAUGAAGGUUCUCGGAUCGUAAACUUCUUUUAUAGGGGACGAAUGCUCGCAAGAGCUUGACGGUACCCUAUGAAUAAGCCACGGCUAACUACGUGCCAGCAGCCGCGGUAAUACGUAGGUGGCGAGCGUUACUCGGAAUUACUAGGCGUAAAGCGUGUGUAGGCGGAUAUUUAAGUCUGUUGUUAAAUCCCACGGCUCAACCGUGGACUGUCAACGGAUACUGGGUAUCUUGAGUUGGGUAGAGGAAAUCGGAAUUCCUAGUGUAGCAGUGAAAUGCGUAGAUAUUAGGAAGAACGCCAAAGGCGAAGGCAGAUUUCUGGGCCUUUACUGACGCUGAGACACGAAAGCUAGGGUAGCAAACAGGAUUAGAUACCCUGGUAGUCCUAGCUGUAAACGAUGUAGACUAGGUGUGGGAGGUAUCGACCCCUUCCGUGCCGACGCUAACGCAUUAAGUCUACCGCCUGGGGAGUACGGCCGCAAGGUUAAAACUCAAAGGAAUUGACGGGGGCCCGCACAAGCGGUGGAUCAUGUGGUUUAAUUCG
rnacentral:rRNA from 1 species